rnacentral:rRNA from 1 species
AGGGAGUUUGAUCCUGGCUCAGGAUGAACGCUGGCGGCGUGCUUAACACAUGCAAGUCGAACGAAGCAACUUAUUACGAUCCCUUCGGGGUGACGAUUUGUUGACUGAGUGGCGGACGGGUGAGUAACGCGUGGGUAACCUGCCUUGUACAGGGGGACAACAGUUGGAAACGACUGCUAAUACCGCAUAAGCGCACAGCUUCGCAUGAAGCAGUGUGAAAAGUUAUUUCGGUACAAGAUGGACCCGCGUCUGAUUAGCUAGUUGGUGAGGUAACGGCCCACCAAGGCGACGAUCAGUAGCCGACCUGAGAGGGUGACCGGCCACAUUGGGACUGAGACACGGCCCAAACUCCUACGGGAGGCAGCAGUGGGGAAUAUUGCACAAUGGGCGAAAGCCUGAUGCAGCGACGCCGCGUGAGCGAAGAAGUAUUUCGGUAUGUAAAGCUCUAUCAGCAGGGAAGAUAAUGACGGUACCUGACUAAGAAGCACCGGCUAAAUACGUGCCAGCAGCCGCGGUAAUACGUAUGGUGCAAGCGUUAUCCGGAUUUACUGGGUGUAAAGGGAGCGUAGGCGGUUUUACAAGUCUGAUGUGAAAGCCCGGGGCUCAACUCCGGUAUUGCAUUGGAAACUGUAGAACUAGAGUGUCGGAGGGGUAAGUGGAAUUCCUAGUGUAGCGGUGAAAUGCGUAGAUAUUAGGAGGAACACCAGUGGCGAAGGCGGCUUACUGGACGAUUACUGACGCUGAGACGCGAAAGCGUGGGGAGCAAACAGGAUUAGAUACCCUGGUAGUCCCCU